ensembl:misc_RNA Metazoa_SRP Metazoan signal recognition particle RNA
GCCGGGCAUGGUGACGCAUGCCUAUGGUCUCAGCUACUAGGGAGGCUGAGGCUGGAGAAUCUCUUGAGUCCAGGAGUUCUGGGCUGUAGUGUGCUAUGCCAAUCGGGUGUCUGCAGUAAGUUCGGCAUCAAUAUGGUGACCUCCCGGGACCAGGGGACCACCAGGUUGCCUAAGGAGGUGUGAACCGGCCUAGGUUGGAAAUGAAGCAGGUCAAAACUCUCGUUCUGAUCAGCAGUGGGACUGCGCCUGUGAACAGCCACUGUACUCCAGCCUGGGCAACAUAGCGAGACCCUGUCUCUU